rnacentral:rRNA from 1 species
AAUCAACGCUGGCGGCGUGCCUCAGACAUGCAAGUCGAACGAUUAAAGCUCUCUUCGGAGAGUGUAUAGAGUGGCGCACGGGUGAGUAACACGUAAGUAAUCUACCUUUGAGUGGGGAAUAACCCGGGGAAACCCGAGCUAAUACCGCAUAAUGCAGCGGCACCGCAAGGUGACAGUUGUUAAAGGAGCAAUCCGCUUAAAGAGGAGCUUGCGGCAGAUUAGCUAGUGGUAAGGUAAUGGCUUACCAAGGCUUCGAUCUGUAUCCGGCCUGAGAGGGCGGUCGGACACACUGACACUGAAUAACGGGUCAGACUCCUACGGGAGGCAGCAGUCGGGAAUUUGGGCAAUGGGCGAAAGCCUGACCCAGCAACGCCGCGUGAAGGAUGAAGUAUUUCGGUAUGUAAACUUCGAAAGAAUGGGAAGAAUCAAUGACGGUACAUUUAUAAGGUCCGGCUAACUACGUGACAGCCGCCGCCGUAAC